ACAAAGGUACAACCCUGCUGGUCAUUUUAAAUGGUGCUGAUCUGCCCACUGGUAGCGUUGCCCCUGGAAGCCACAUGGGUCAGUACUGCUGUAACAACUGCAUGACCUACACGCCAUCAUGUACAAACACUACACCUCACCAAACUCCCAGCUGUCACACCAUCCUCAUGUAGGCAGACAGUAAUGGAAUGCAGGACAAAUGGCCGGUGACCGAACGCACGCAAAAGGGUCAUGUACAAUGUUUAACUAAGCAAGAAAAGGAAAGACAUGGGAAGUACAAUAUUUUUUGUUCAUCUCUCUUUUUACCUUUUUACCUUAACUGUCUAUUUCACAUAUACAACAAAAUACAAGGAAUGUCCUUGUUUUUUUUUUUUUUUUUUUUUUGUGACAUGUGAAAUGAGUUACCUAUUGCAGCAAUUUAGUGGAUUAGUGGUUAAGGACUCAGUCUUGUAACUUGAGGCUAGAUGGUUCAAGUCCCAUUCCCUCCAGCUGCUGUAGAAACCUUGAUCAAGAUCCUUACCAUGAAUUACUCUAAUAAAAAAUCCCAGCUGGAUAGAUAUGACCUUAUUAGAUACCGUUAAAAGUUUCAGUUCAGCAAUUCUCGUAUUUCUAGAAGUCACGUUCAAUUCUUCUUAUUGACAUGACUCACUCUGUCAUUGUUUUAGAUUCAGUGGAUACCUCUGCUGACAUCACAGAUGUGCCAGAAGCUCCUGUCACUAUGGGUAUCCAAACUCUGGACAUGAAAGGUCAGGCCCUCUAGAAUAAAGUGAAUAAUACUAUAAACGUGUAUGAAUUACAGUGCAGAGUUCACUUUGCAGUUUGUUUCCUUAGGAGAACUGCAGUAGUGCUGUGUCUAAAACGUGAUAUUUUAUAUAUAUGUGGGGUUUCAUUAUUCUACAGUGGUGGAUGGACCUGAUAAGUCAUCAGCAGAAGAAGCAAAAGACACAGAUGAGGAAGACUCCGCUGAAAAGAAUCCCAAAGACUCUGACAAGAGCAGCCAGGAUAGUGACAGUGACAGCAAACAAGACAAGAGCAGCAAGGAAGACAGUGACAGUAGCAAUGACAGUGACAGCAAACAAGACAAGAGCAGCAAGGAAGACAAGGAGAGCGACAGUGACAGCAAACAAGACAGGAGCAGCAAAGAAGACAAGGACAGUGACAGUGAUAGUGACAGUGACAGCAAAGAUGAAAAAGACAGUAAAGAAGACAAGGACACUGACAGUGACAGUGACAGUGAAGGCGACAGCAAACAGGACAAAAGCAGUAAGGAAGACAAAGACAGUGACAAUGAAAGCGACAGUGACAGCAAACAAGAAAAAAGUAUUAAGGAAGACAAGGACAGUGACAGUGAUAGCAAACAGGACAAAAGCAGCGAGGACACUGACAGCAAGCAGGAGAAAAAAGUAGAUAAGGAUACUGACAGUGACAGUGAGAGUGACAGUGGCAGUGACAGCAAACAAGACAAAAGCAGUGAGGACAGUGACAGCCAACAGGACAAAAGGAACAAGGUAGACAAGGAGAGUGACAGUGAUAGCGAUAGUGACAGCAAACAUGACAAAGACAGUAAAGAAGACAAGGACAGUGACAGUGACAGUGGCAGUGACAGCAAACAGGAAAAAAGCAGCAAGGAAGACAAGGACAGUGACAGUGACAGUCAACAAGACAAAAGCAGCAAGGAGGAGAGUGACAGCAACAUCCAGCAGGACAAGAGCAGCAAAGAAGACAAGGACAGCGACAGUGAUAGUGACAGUGACAGCGAUAGUGAUAGUGAUAGCAAACAGGACAAAAGCAGCAAAGAAGACAAGGACAGCGACGGUGACAGUGACAGCGACAGCGAUAGUGACAGCAAACAGGACAAAAGCAGCAAGGAGGACAAGGCUGAUGACAGCAAGCCAGACACAGAGAGUGACAGUGAUGGUUCUGACAGCAAGGAUGCAGACAAAGACAGCAAAGAGGACAGUCCAGAUAAAAGCAGUCAGGAAUCCAGCAAUCUGAACAAACAUGAGCAUGACAAGAGCCAGGAUAUGGACAGCACCAGCAAACAGGACAACAGCAAGGAAAAGGAUUCUUCCUCUGACAGUACCAGCAGUAGUGAGAGCAAGUCCUCUGAUUCCGAUGAUGACGAUACCUCUGAGGUAACUACGGAUGACAGCGAUGUCAGCUCUGAUGUAUCCCACAAACCUGAUCAAUUUGGCCAGACCACACAGGGCACCAUGCAAGGUAGGGCAGCGCCUUGCCCUGGUUCGGCAAUCCUUUACUAA
rnacentral:lncRNA from 1 species